UAGUUCCCGGACCUUGUACACACCGCCCGUCAAGCGAUUGGAAGCUGGGAGGACCUAAAGACAGUUGCUGUAAGGCGCUGUUUAGGGUAAACCGGUGACUGGCGCU
rnacentral:rRNA from 1 species